ensembl:miRNA Mir5129 microRNA 5129
UCACCUGAAUAUGUGGGGGCAUUGGUAUUUUCAAAGCAGCAUUUUGAAUGUGCCUGUGCAUCUCUUCCCACAGUGGUG